rnacentral:rRNA from 1 species
CGGGUGCACUGAUCCAGCCGGGCCUUUCCCUCUGUGGAACCCCAUGGCCUUCACUGGCUGUGGUGGGGAAACAGGACUUUUACUUUGAAAAAAUUAGAGUGCUCCAGGCAGGCCUAUGCUCGAAUACAUUAGCAUGGAAUAAUAGAAUAGGACGUGUGGUUCUAUUUUGUUGGUUUCUAGGACCGCCGUAAUGAUUAAUAGGGACAGUCGGGGGCAUCAGUAUUCAAUUGUCAGAGGUGAAAUUCUUGGAUCUAUUGAAGACUAACUACUGCGAAAGCAUUUGCCAAGGAUGUUUUCAUUGAUAAGGAACGAAAGUUAGGGGAUCGAAGGCGAUCAGAUACCGUCGUAGUCUUAACUAUAAACUAUGCCGACUAGGGAUCGGACGAUGUUAUUCUUUGACGCGUUCGGCACCUUUCGAGAAAUCAAAGUGCUUGGGCUCCAGGGGGAGUAUGGUCGCAAGGCUGAAACUUAAAGAAAUUGACGGAAGGGCACCACCAGGGGUGGAACCUGCGGCUUAAUUUGACUCAACACGGGGAAACUCACCAGGUCCAGACACAGUGAGGAUUGACAGAUUGAGAGCUCUUUCUUGAUUCUGUGGGUGGUGGUGCAUGGGCCGUUCUUAGUUGGUGGAGUGAUUUGUCUGCUUAAUUGCGAUAACGAACGAGACCUUAACCUGCUAAAUAGCCCGUACUGCUUUGGCAGUUCGCCGGCUUCUUAGAGGGACUAUCGG